rnacentral:lncRNA from 1 species
GAGUGAGGGAACCGGUCCUGGUCGCGUGCACCCGAACAGCCUGCCCUGGUACCCCGGUGCUCUGACCCAGUCCAAUCAUGACCCUGCGCCCUUUGCUCCUGCCGCUUCGGCUGUUGCUGCUGCUGCUGAUCAGUGGGGCGGUGUGCCAGGCUGAGGCUGAGGUAGAAACCGAAAGUCCUGUCCGGACCCUCCAAGUGGAGACCCUGGUGAGGAGACUGUCGAGCUGCUCCCCUCCCCCCAUGCCCCGCCGCCACCCUUUAAGGCCAGGGAUCGCAGGGGAGCCUGGGACUCUAAAUGGACCUGUGAGCGAAGAGGAAAGGAAGUGCAGGAACUGAGUUGGGGGAGAAA